CCUACGGGAGGCAGCAGUGGGGAAUUUUGGACAAUGGGCGAAAGCCUGAUCCAGCAAUGCCGCGUGUGUGAAGAAGGCCUUCGGGUUGUAAAGCACUUUUGUCCGGAAAGAAAUGGCUCUGGUUAAUACCUGGGGUCGAUGACGGUACCGGAAGAAUAAGGACCGGCUAACUACGUGCCAGCAGCCGCGGUAAUACGUAGGGUCCAAGCGUUAAUCGGAAUUACUGGGCGUAAAGCGUGCGCAGGCGGUUGUGGAAGACCGAAUUUAAAUCCCCGAGCUUAAAUUGGGAAUUGCAUUCGUGACUGCACGGGUAGAGUGUGUCAGAGGGGGGUAGAAUUCCACGUGUAGCAGUGGAAUGCGUAGAGAUGUGGAGGAAUAACGAUGGCGAAGGCAGGCCCCUGGGAUAACACUGACGCUCAUGCACGAAAGCGUGGGGAGCAAACAGGAUUAGAUACCCCUGUAGUC
rnacentral:rRNA from 1 species